GAGGGUGUAGCUCAGUGGUAGAGUGUGUGCUUAGCAUGCAUGAGGUCCUCAGUUCAAUUCCCAGUACCUUCA
rnacentral:tRNA from 1 species